AACGAACGCUGGCGGCAGGCCUAACACAUGCAAGUCGAACGCUCCGCAAUGGGAGUGGCCGACGGGUGAGUAACACGUGGGAAUCUUCCUAUCGGUACGGAAUAGCUCAGGGAAACUUGGGGUAAUACCGCAUACGCCCUUCGGGGGAAAGAUUUAUCGCCGAUAGAUGAGCCCGCGUCUGAUUCGCUAGUUGGGGGGGUAAUGGCUCACCAAGGCGACGAUCAGUAGCUGGUUUGAGAGAAUGACCAGCCACACUGGGACUGAGACACGGCCCAUACUCCUACGGGAGGCAGCAGUGGGGAAUCUUGGACAAUGGGCGCAAGCCUGAUCCAGCCAUGCCGCGUGAGUGACGAAGGUCUUCGGAUUGUAAAGCUCUUUUGCCAGGGACGAUAAUGACGGUACCUGGAGAAUAAGCCCCGGCUAACUUCGUGCCAGCAGCCGCCGUAA
rnacentral:rRNA from 1 species